UCCUGGUUAGCUCAGUUGGUAGAUCACUCCACUGCAAAUGAAGAGGUCCCUGGUUCGACACCACAACCAGGCG
rnacentral:tRNA from 1 species